CCUACGGGUGGCUGCAGUGGGGAAUAUUGGACAAUGGGGGGAACCCUGAUCCAGCCAUGCCGCGUGUGUGAAGAAGGCCCUCGGGUUGUAAAGCACUUUCAGUGAGGAAGAACGCCUGGUGGUUAAUACCCAUCAGGAAAGACAUCACUCACAGAAGAAGCACCGGCUAACUCCGUGCCAGCAGCCGCGGUAAUACGGAGGGUGCGAGCGUUAAUCGGAAUUACUGGGCGUAAAGCGCGCGUAGGUGGCUUGAUAAGCCGGUUGUGAAAGCCCCGGGCUCAACCUGGGAACGGCAUCCGGAACUGUCAAGCUAGAGUGCAGGAGAGGGAGGUAGAAUUCCCGGUGUAGCGGUGAAAUGCGUAGAGAUCGGGAGGAAUACCAGUGGCGAAGGCGGCCUUCUGGACUGACACUGACACUGAGGUGCGAAAGCGUGGGUAGCAAACAGGAUUAGAUACCCCGGUAGUC
rnacentral:rRNA from 1 species